rnacentral:lncRNA from 1 species
UAUUUGAAAAGGUAAUAUAUAUUAAGAUUUUAUUCUUCAAGUUGCAUAUGUUGUCCAGUGAGAACAAUUUUACAUAGAACUCACUCUUAAAACAGACUUCUGAGAAAAUAAUCACCAGAAACCUUAGAGAGAGGCCUUUCAUGAGCAAUGUAAGAUAUAAUUAGACUAGAAACAUUAAAAAAAAAAAAAAAAAAAGGCCCAUAACAUUAUUGCGAAAGGCAUGGAAAGGAAGGCCAAUAACAGGAACUGCAAAUGAGGUCUCCAAAAGCAUCUUCCGCUGAGAUGAGUCGAUUGUACCCCUGGCUUCAAUGAUGUUUUUCACCAAAGAAUUAUAGUAGAUUUUUAGUUUCUAGAGUAUGCAUGAGUACUUUGGCUCCAGCCAUCUCAGCUUCAGUUUCACUAGGAAGAAUACACGUNCGUCAGAAAAUAACAAG